rnacentral:lncRNA from 1 species
GGGAGCAGGGGAUCCCAACGGCUUGCGCUGCCUUUGCGCAGCAGCCGGCGGGCGGCCACGUCGCGGCCUGGCUGGGGUAGGAGAGGGCGGUCCCCAGUGCAGUUGGGUGAACUACCGUUGCACACUGGAGUUUCUGGUGUCUUUGCUUGGAACUGACCUAGCUCGUGGCAGGGGGAACUCGGCUAGCGGCCCCACAGCCCCUGCUGACUCAAAACAACUGAGUUGUAAGACGUUCAUCGCCGUGUUAUCCUUGAGUAAAGAAGCGGGCUUUUGCCAUGUUGUCCAGGCUGGUCUCUACUCCUGGGCUCAAGCAGUCCUCCUGCCUCAGUCUCCCAAAGUGCUGGAAUUACAGGGGUGAGUUGCUGCGUCUGGUGUUGGUGACUUUCUAGAGAUUACUUUUUGGUUUACAUCAUUUUCCUUGUGACUAUUUUUACUUUUUUGGGGGGCGGGGGGACAGUCUUACUCUUUUUAGUUUACAUCAUUUUCCUUGUGACUAUUCUAUUUUUACUUUUUUAGGGGGCGGGGGGACAUGAGUCUCACUCAUGUUGGUCAGGCUGGUCUCAAACUCCUGACCUCAGUUGAUCCACGCCCUUCGGCCUCCCAAAGUGCCGGGAUUACAGGCGUGAGCCACUUUGCCCGGCCUGUAUUUUUACGUUUUAAUAAAUCCCCGUAUUUUUGUUAAAGGCUGGGUAACCUGACUCCUCCCCUCAUUUCUACUGCAAAAUAGGAGUACACUGGGGCCUCCCAGUGGAGCUGUUCUCUGCUGUUUUAAAUUACUUUCUACUCCUCCCUUUCUAACGUCCACUCCUGGACUCAUUUGUUAGAUCAAUAUAUACUGGGACUGUUGUGUUUUCUUUGAGUGUACUAGAUCUCUUUCCAGAAGAGCUUCCCUUGAUCCAGAUCUCCCUAAUUGGGAAUGAUGAUUUCACAGACUAGAGUCUCCGAUGCUGGUCAUGAUGUCAAAACUAAGUUCUGACUCAUUUAGGGAACUGGAUACUUGGGUCUCCAGAAGGGCCAAUGGGAGGGCCAUAAUUCUGUUUAUUUUCAAAUUGUCUUGUUUUCACCUUGUUAGAAUGAACUCUGGAAGCCCAGCCAGGGACAAUGCACCUUCACAGAGAUUCUGCACUAAUCUGAGUGAAGGUCUAAGGUUUGGAAUCUCCCCCUCAUGGAGAGAAGCUUUGUAUGGCUGUCAUGCUUAGACAGUGAUUCCUGCAACUUGACCUUCAGGCUGGGAGAGGUGGAGAGCCAUGCCUGUUCUCCUUCCUUGCUAUGGAAUUUGCUGACACAAUAUCUUCCGCCUGGUGCUGGGCAUAUCCUAAGAACUUACAACUUUCCUGUAUUAUCCUGUGUGAGCAGCUGUCACCUUAUUGGGGGAAAAAUGCCUGAAAAUUAGGGGGCACUUCAAGUAGAUAGCUUCUAUUUCCUAUAUUUGUCUUAUAUACAAGUAUUUGCUUUUAUCAAAAUAAUUCCAAUAAAGCAUUUUAAAGUAAAGAA